AGACGUGAGCUCUUCCGAAAAGUUUGGCUGCAUCCGAAAAAAUAUAUAUUAUGAAACAAAAAUAAACACAAAAUUUAUUACACGAAUCUGUUACCACCACGUCAGUCAACUAUUUGACGCCGAACAUGAG